rnacentral:rRNA from 1 species
AGUGAACGCUGGCGGCGUGCUUAACACAUGCAAGUCGAACGAGAACGGAUUAUAGCUUGCUAUAAUUGUCAGCUAAGUGGCGCACGGGUGAGUAAUAUAUAGGUAAUGUGCCCCAAAGAAGAGGAUAACAUUUGGAAACGGAUGCUAAUACUCUAUAUGCCUUUAAGACAAAAGUCUGCAAGGGAAAUAUUUAUAGCUUUGGGAUCGGCCUGUACGGUAUCAGCUUGUUGGUGAGGUAAUGGCUCACCAAGGCAAUGACACCUAACUGGUUUGAGAGGAUGAUCAGUCACACUGGAACUGAGACACGGUCCAGACUCCUACGGGAGGCAGCAGUGGGGAAUAUUGCACAAUGGACGAAAGUCUGAUGCAGCAACGCCGCGUGGAGGAUGACACAUUUCGGUGCGUAAACUCCUUUUAUAUAUGAAGAUAAUGACGGUAAUAUAUGAAUAAGCACCGGCUAACUCCG